rnacentral:rRNA from 1 species
GACGGAGGAUGCAAGUGUUAUCCGGAAUCACUGGGCGUAAAGCGUCUGUAGGUUGUUUAAAAAGUCUGCAGUUAAAGGUUGAAGCUUAACUUCAAAAAUGCCGUAGAAACUUUUAAACUAGAGGAUGGUAGGGGUAGAGGGAAUUUCCAGUGGAGCGGUGAAAUGUGUAGAUAUUGGAAAGACCACCGAUGGCGAAGGCACUCUACUGGGCCAUGACUGACACUAAGAGACGAAAGCUAGGGGAGCGAAUGGG